UUUGUACCUCCAAAAGAUAAGAAAUUUUUACAUCGAGCGAAUGCGAAUCUACGUAGGUACUUAGUUGUGGGAUUUUUCCUGCAGCAUUGUUAAUCGCUUAUCGCUUCGAACUUCGAAGCGAUUAGCAAAGACAGUUAGUUUGCCGGAUUUUUCGUGCUUAGUUCGUUUCUAUCUGCAUUAUUCGCUUGUUGCUGUACGUUUUUGAAGAAUAAAAUUCAGAAUUUUGAAUUAGUUGAUCGUGAAUUUGUCAAAUUGUGCGUCUGGUCGCGUCGUGUUAUUGUGUUGUUUUUUUACAAAUCGAUGUUCCUGAUCAUAAUUUUAUGCCUGAAAGACGAGUUUGCCGGUAUUUAUCCAUUGGUUUGAUGUGUGGUUCUCAUCUGGUUGUUCAGAUGCUGCUUGUUGAAUAUGGUGAGUACGAAUUUUACGCUGUAAAAGUACCUAUAAUAAAAUCAACACUCGUGCAUGAGAAUGAGUAAGUCAUUUUAUGAUCUACCUAUACCUUUGAACAAAUUUCCGGUCAAACGAUUGUAUCAUACUGCGUGCUAAUGUACAGUACCAUCCUUCAAGCAUACGUAAAUAGUUAUUCAAUAACAAUAAUAUCUUCAUUGAAAUUUGUUGAUAAAGUUCGAUUUUUAAAUUUUGAGAACGUUCAGCUCCUUGACAUGAUUUCCAAUCAGAUUUUUGCUUGAAUUUUGAACUGUAAUGGAAUGGAAUACUUACUGUAGGUACUUAUAAAAAAAAUACUUACUUUUUCAACAUGAUGAUCGCAAAUUCAACAGUACGUGGAAUUUUUGUGAUUUGGAAGUUUAAUUUCUACAAGUUUGAUUUCCAGGAACUUUUAUUCUCAAAAUAUUUCACUCGAAAAA